AUUGAACGCUGGCGGCAGGCCUAACACAUGCAAGUCGAGCGGCAGCGGGAAAGUAGCUUGCUACUUUUGCCGGCGAGCGGCGGACGGGUGAGUAAUGCCUGGGAAAUUGCCCAGUCGAGGGGGAUAACAGUUGGAAACGACUGCUAAUACCGCAUACACCCUACGGGGGAAAGCAGGGGACCUUCGGGCCUUGCGCGAUUGGAUAUGCCCAGGUGGGAUUAGCUAGUUGGUGAGGUAAUGGCUCAACAAGGCGACGAUCCCUAGCUGGUCUGAGAGGAUGAUCAGCCACACUGGAACUGAGACACGGUCCAGACUCCUACGGGAGGCAGCAGUGGGGAAUAUUGCACAAUGGGGGAAACCCUGAUGCAGCCAUGCCGCGUGUGUGAAGAAGGCCUUCGGGUUGUAAAGCACUUUCAGCGAGGAGGAAAGGUUGUUGGCUAAUAUCCAACAGCUGUGACGUUACUCGCAGAAGAAGCACCGGCUAACUCCGUGCCAGCAGCCGCGGUAACAC
rnacentral:rRNA from 1 species